rnacentral:lncRNA from 1 species
AUGGUGCACAGUCCCUCCCGCCUGGAAGCAUGCUUCUUCAGGACUGGGCCCCGCCAGAGACUCAGCCUCACAUCCGCAGCUGUCUGUCCCACCUCCAUCACCUCCCUGCAGGCUCCGGGAGGCUUAGCAGCUAGAGGUGAUAGACUCUGGAAAUCGAUGUCUGCCAGGAACUCGGAAUCUGGGUGUGCUCAGCUCUGCACACUACCCCUGACGGUCAUGGGAUCCCCUGAAACCCACCCCGCCCGACCCACCCUAAACUCAGCGUUUUGGUCAGGUCAGCAGCUGCAGUGGAAAAGACCCCUUUCCUCCAAUGGUCACGAACGUGGGUGUCCCUGCCCUACCGCUGCUGGGAAGCAAGGACAAACCAUUAACAGACGCUCGAAGUGGGGCGCAGUCCACGAAGUGGGUCUCAAGGACAGUCUGGGCUGGCUGGGGUAAGGGUUCUGCUUUCAUUAUGUCCCUAGAGGAUAAACUGCUAGCGUUUCACAGCCGGGGCUCAGAUGCCAUCAGUCCUCUCCUGUAAUAACCCACUGCAGGAUAUAGAAUCUUCGUUAAGUAAGCAAAUAUUUGUCAUAACUGAGAUUCAAAUAGGAGUCUGAAUAGCAAUUGAUUUUCAUUCUUCUUGGCUGUGAUGUUUUAGCUAUUUAUUUUUCUUUUUUUUAAUGUUUAAAAAAAAUUUUUUUUUCAUCUUUGAGGGGGGUGGGGAGAGAGCCAGUGGGGGAGGGGCAGAGAGAGAGAGGGAGACACAGAAUCCAAAGCAGGCUCCAGGCUCCAAGCGGUCAGCACAGGGCCUGACGCGGGGCUCGAACUCGUGAACUGUAAGAUCGAGAUGUGAGACAAAGUCAGACGCUUGAUCGACUGAGCCACCAGGCGCCCCUAUGCAUUUCUUUUUUUAUCUUGAGCCCUAACAUCCUUAUUAUUUUUCAAAGUGUUUAGAUAAGGUGAGUCCCCAAAAGGCUGCGGUCACUUAUUCCAGUGCCAUUCAAUGGCCACAGUCAGCAAGGUCUACCCAGGCUCUAACGUAAAUCGUGUUGGCAACUGAAAUAGGCCUGUCUUCUUGGGUGGGUUCCUGUCCUGUCAUUUUGUAUGGACCUCACAAGACUUUGUAACCGAAACCGAAGUUGUGGGAAGAAGAAACACUAAGGAGGGUGAGAAAAUGGUAUCUCGGUAGAUGAAGCAAGAGACUAAGUCUCUCACAGACCCGGCAUCAGAAGGAAGCUCAUGAAAUAAUUUAUCGAGUGACUUCUAUAGGCCAGUCCUGUGCUAAGCAAGUGCAUAUGUAUCACAUCAUUUCGUCCUCCCAACAGCCCUCUGAAGUAGAUCUUCUUACCUCAAUCCUACAAUCAAUAGCUGCGGAAUCCGUGACUGUGCCAAGGACACACGGCCACUCAGAGGCACAGCCGGGUCCAGGCUGGGCCGUCUGCCUGGGCUCCUAGUCCCUGGGGUCCUGGGGUCUGGAUCUGGUUCCCUUGGUCAUAUACUCAGCACCUGACAAUAAAUUACUUUUCUUCCAUGGCUUCA